UACGAAGGGGGCUAGCGUUGCUCGGAAUCACUGGGCGUAAAGGGUGCGUAGGCGGGUCUUUUCGUCAGGGGUGAAAUCCUGGAGCUCAACUCCAGAACUGCCUUUGAUACUGAAGAUCUUGAGUUCGGGAGAGGUGAGUGGAACUGCGAGUGUAGAGGUGAAAUUCGUAGAUAUUCGCAAGAACACCAGUGGCGAAGGCGGCUCACUGGCCCGAUACUGACGCUGAGGCACGAAAGCGUGGGGAGCAAACAGG
rnacentral:rRNA from 1 species